GUAGGUGGUUUGUUAAGUAAGGCAUGAAAUCGUGUGGCUCAACCAUGCGGCUAUGCUUUAAACUGACAGACUAGAGGAUGAGAGAGGUUAUUGGAAUUCCCAGUGUAGGAGUGAAAUCCGUAGAUAUUGGGAGGAACACCGAUGGCGUAGGCAGAUAACUGGCUCAUUCCUGACACUAAGGCACGAAAGCGUGGGUAGCAAACGGGAUUAGAUACCCCGGUAGUCCACGCCGUAAACUAUGGAUGCUAGCUGUACACCGUAUCGACCCGGUGUGUAGCGAAGCUAACGCGUUAAGCAUCCCGCCUGUGGAGUACGAGCGCAAGCUUAAAACAUAAAGGAAUUGACGGGGACCCGCACAAGCGGUGGAGCGUGUUGUUUAAUUCGAUGGUAAGCGAAGAACCUUACCAAGGCUUGAAAUCCUGCGAAGAACUACGAAAGUAGAUUGUGCCUUCGGGAACGCAGUGACAGGUGUUGCAUGGCCGUCGUCAGCUCGUGUCGUGAGAUGUUGGGUUAAGUCCCGCAACGAGCGCAACCCCUAUGUUCAGUUGAAUUUCUCUGAACAGACUGCCCUGGUAACAGGGAGGAAGGAGGGGAUGAUGUCAGGUCAGUAUUACCCUUACGCCUUGGGCUACAAACACGCUACAAUGGCCAGUACAAAGGGCAGCCAAGGCGCGAGCCGGAGCAAAUCCCAUCAAAACUGGUCUCAGUUCGGAUAGCAGGCUGAAACUCGCCUGCUUGAAGCUGGAAUCGCUAGUAAUGGUAAGUCAGCACAUUACCGUGAAUACGUUCCCGGGUCUUGUACACACCGCCCGUCAAACCAUGAAAGUCGGGGGCACCCAAAGUCCGCAUUAGCGGCCUAAGGUGAAUUCGAUGAUUGGGGUU
rnacentral:rRNA from 1 species